rnacentral:tRNA from 3 species
GCAGUCGUGGCCGAGUGGUUAAGGCGUUGGACUAGAAAUCCAUUGGGGUCUCCCCGCACAGGUUCGAAUCCUGUCGACUGCG